GUAACUACACUGUCAGAAAUAGGGGUACAGUAGGGGUCCAUUUCUGUCCCCCAAGGUACAAUCUACAUAAAAGUACCCCAAAGGGCCCAUUAUUGGACCUCAAAGUACAUAUUUGUUCCCAAGCAUUAAAAGGUACAUUUUUGUACCAUUUCUUUUAAAGGAUAAGGUACAAUGCUAAAAGAUACAGCCUCUUGUCAUUUUUUUAUUUGUUGUUCUAGACAACUGCUGUAAAUCUGGUCAAUAAAGUAAGUAACCAUUGUGUCAAUUUUGUUUCCUUUAGUUGGGCACAUGGGUCUUGAAGUAGUGUUAGUUUUCUUCUGUUCAUUGACAAUGUGUUUAAUUUAAAAUUUUAAUUUGAAAUUUUAAUGAAAAAAAGUUAAUUUCAAUUCAUAAAAACUGUGCUGUGAACUCAAAAACUGCAAUUGAUAAACCAUUACUUACAAACUAAAUAAAUACUGAAUAACUAAAUCCCUCACACACAAUGGAAAAAACGCGCUUUUAUUUUGACACGCGCCCAUCCCCCCACAUCUCACGGUCUGACUGGAAUCGAGUUUCACAGAGCAACGCAACAGGAGGAUGACACAACAGUUAUAAGAGCAUUAACAGUAAGGACUAACAUUAACUGACUGUCUGUCCUCAACCAAAGUCAUUCAAGACCUGUAAAAGCACAAACGUUUCCCGCGCAAGUUUGAAUCUCUCUCAGUCAGGGGAGAUUAACUGACUGACUGACUGUCUACAUGCCACCAAACAGUAAUUUAUACAGAAACCUUUUAAAGUAAGGACUAACAUUAACUGACUGUCUGUCUGUCUGUCUGUUCUCAAGCAAAGUCAUUCAAGACCUGUUAAAGUUUAGCACAAACGUUUCCCGCGCAAGUUUGAAUCUCUCUCAGUCAGGGGAGAUUGACUGACUGACUGACUGUCUACAUGCCACCAAACAGUAAUUUAUACAGAAACCUUUUAAAGUAAGGACUAACAUUAACUGACUGUCUGUCUGUCUGUCUUUUCUCAACCAAAGUCAUUAAAGACCUGUUAAAGUAAGGACUAACGUUAACUGACUGUCUGUCUGUCUGUCUGUCUGUCUGCUCUCAACCAAACAGUCAUUCAAGACCUUUCAAAGUUUAGCACAAAAGUUUCCAGCACAAGUUUGGAUCUUUACCAUUGAGGGUGGCUGACUGUUCUCGACCAACCAUCAUUCACACGCAAAAACUUUAAAGAUAAGUAUGAACGUGCCCAGAGCAGUUUUCGAUCUUUACCAUUAAGGAGGCUGACUGACUAUCCUCUACCACCCGUCAUUAACACAACAAAAACUAAAGAAAUGUUACUCCAUAUGGACCUAUUCAUUUACUCAUUAUGCUGUGAGUACACCACAGUUUUAUCAGUGAAAAAAUUUAUAUUUGUGUGUUUUCUCACUGCUUGGCAAGGACAGAUGUGGCCCUGUUAAAAAUGUUUAAAUGUUGUUUGGUUAAGGAACAGCACACUGAUUCUGUUUUAAAAUAUUCCUGUUUGGACAGUCUGUUAAAGUCAAAGGAAUACUUGAUAUAUUUCUAAGUAAAGUGUAAAUCAAAAAAUUAGUUUUUAAUGUUGUGACUGAACACAAUGUUGUGAAUGAUUUGGACUGAACAGCACACUUCUGUUUUAUAUCUG